rnacentral:rRNA from 1 species
AUGGCUGUCGUCAGCUCGUGUCGUGAGAUGUUCGGUUAAGUCCGCUAACGAGCGCAACCCUCGCUGUGUGUUAUAUGUGUCACACGGGACGUGCCGGUCUUAAGCCGGAGGAAGGUGGGGAUGAUGUCAAGUCAGCAUGGCCUUUAUAUCCUGGGCUACACACACGCUACAAUGGCCAACACAAUAGGUUGCUAAGCCGCGAGGUGGCCGCCAAUCCAUAAAGUUGGUCUCAGUUCAGAUUGUAGGCUGCAACCCGCCUGCCAUGAAGAUGGAGUUGCUAGUAACCGCAGGUCAGCUAUACUGCGGUGAAUACGUUCCCGGGGCUU